rnacentral:rRNA from 1 species
GUUUAACGCUGGCGGCGUGCCUAAUACAUGCAAGUCGAACGGAACACUAUUUUUGAGAACCUCGCUCCUUUGCGGGAUUGUCAUCAGUAGUGUUUAGUGGCGGACGGGUGAGUAACACGUUGGUACCUGCCCUUUAGUGGGGAAUAACUCGACGAAAGUCGGGCUAAUACCGCAUGUGAUCCUUCGGGAUUAAAGCCUUCGGGCGCUAAAGGAGGGGCCUGCGUCUGAUUAGCUUGUUGGUAAGGUAAUGGCUUACCAAGGCGAUGAUCAGUAGCUGGUUCGAGAGGAUGAUCAGCCACACUGGAACUGAGAUACGGUCCAGACUCCUACGGGAGGCAGCAGUAAGGAAUCUUCCGCAAUGGACGAAAGUCUGACGGAGCAACGCCGCGUGCAGGAUGAAGGCUUUCGGGUCGUAAACUGCUUUUGUAUGGGAAGAUUAUGACGGUACCAUACGAAUAAGGACCGGCUAACUACGUGCCAGCAGCCGCGGUAAUACGUAGGGUCCAAGCGUUAUCCGGAAUUACUGGGCGUAAAGCGUCUGUAGGCGGAUUGUUAAGUGCAUCGCGAAAUCCUGUGGCUCAACCAUAUGGACUGUGAUGCAUACUGGCAAUCUAGAGGAUGGCAGAGGCAAGUGGAAUUACCGGUGUAGCAGUGAAAUGCGUAGAUAUCGGUAGGAACACCAAUGGCGAAGGCAGCUUGCUGGGCCAUUUCUGACGCUAAGAGACGAAAGCGUGGGGAGCGAACAGG